rnacentral:lncRNA from 1 species
AUGAAAUGGUUGAAGAGCAAGGGAAGAGAUCUUUCUGUCCCUGAUGGAGCUCUCCCAUCUGGUUACAGAAACUGGAUAAGGGGAAAGAAAAAUCCUAGGAUGCUGGAAUGCCAGGAACGUUUCCAGGAUGCCAAGAAAAAUAGCUCUGUGAUGAACCAAUGGCACCAUGGUGGCAGCAGGAAGAAGAAUGACAUCGGGCAGUCUUCCUGGCCAAGCAGCCAUCAGGACCCACAUAAAUAUUUUCUCAAUGUCUGCAUGACCAGAAACUACUGGCUGGCUUCCAUGGGACAGUAAAUAAUUCAGAUUGGUUACUUCCUGACCACUUUCUUGGGUGUGUUUUCUGACAACUGUGUCUUUUGAAGAGGACUUUGCAGAGACCUUGAUAAAGGCAGUGAGCCAAGCUCUUACUGGAUUCUGAUGAUGGCACUUUGUGGGCAGGAAAGAAGUACCGAUGGGUCUCCAUGUCUGUGCACUUGGAGGUAGCAGAUGGCUUUUACUCAGUCUUAAAGAUCUUUCAAGUGGGGCCAAGAAUGAGUUUCAGACAUUAGGGUGGGGCGAGGUUAGAGAUCCUGGGACCAAAAAGUCAGAAUUCAGCUCAUGUGGUAAAUUGGGUAAGCUUGACCAAAGGCAUGCUGGGGUUUUGGCAGAUAACCCAGUGGGGAAGGAAAAGAUAGUACUGGAGCCAGUAUGGUCUCAGAUUAUUUAAAUGGACAAUUUUGGGGUUGUAAGUUCAUGAGAGAGUGGGUACAACAAGCAAUGUCUAUUCAUGAGAAUUACCCAAGGCUUCUGAUGGCAGUGAGACAUUAGGGGACAGUAGUUCUGGAAGUCAGGUUCUUGAUGCCUUGCCUGGUUUAUAGUAGGACUUUAAUUGACAGUGGAAAAAAAUGAAAAUGGGGCAGAGGGCAGGGAAUGUCUAGAAAAAGUGCCAGGGUCAGCGUGGUAGUGCAAGUGAACCUGCCGAUGUUGGGGGGGAGGGGGAUGUAGUAAAAUUCAAGGUCUGACUUUCUGGUGGGAAGACUCUUAAUUUUAUGUCUCAAGAAUUGUAGUUUUUGUAUCCUACACAGGUCUGACUAUGUAGUGGAAAUGCUUUAGAACCUGUAGUAGGCUGACCUAAAGCACAGGUCCCUGAUGGGUUUAAGGAUACAGAAUUCUAGAUGGUUAGAACUGAGAGGACCUGUGCUCAUCGGGCUUUGCCUGAAUUGUACAAUGGGAAUAUUUGGGCCAUGUAUCUUGCCUCCAGCCCUACAUGGUUGCUCAGUAGAGAACACAGUUGUUCCAUCCCUGGAG